GAUGAACGCUGGCGGCGUGCUUAACACAUGCAAGUCGAACGGUGAACGAGGGAGCUUGCUCCCUCCGGAUCAGUGGCGAACGGGUGAGUAACACGUGAGCAAUCUGCCCUGGACUCUGGGAUAAGCGUUGGAAACGACGUCUAAUACCGGAUACGAGACGCGAAGGCAUCUUCAGCGUCUGGAAAGAACUUCGGUCCAGGAUGAGCUCGCGGCCUAUCAGGUAGUUGGUGAGGUAACGGCUCACCAAGCCUACGACGGGUAGCUGGCCUGAGAGGGUGACCGGCCACACUGGGACUGAGACACGGCCCAGACCCCUACGGGAGGCAGCAGUGGGGAAUAUUGCACAAUGGGCGCAAGCCUGAUGCAGCAACGCCGCGUGAGGGACGACGGCCUUCGGGUUGUAAACCUCUUUUAGCAGGGAAGAAGCGAAAGUGACGGUACCUGCAGAAAAAGCACCGGCUAACUACGUGCCAGCCGCCGCGGUAAAAC
rnacentral:rRNA from 1 species